rnacentral:rRNA from 1 species
UACCAGACUCCUACGGGAGGCAGCAGUGGGGAAUAUUGCACAAUGGGGGAAACCCUGAUGCAGCGACGCCGCGUGAGCGAUGAAGUAUUUCGGUAUGUAAAGCUCUAUCAGCAGGGAAGAAGAUGACGGUACCUGACUAAGAAGCCCCGGCUAACUACGUGCCAGCAGCCGCGGUAAUACGUAGGGGGCAAGCGUUAUCCGGAUUUACUGGGUGUAAAGGGAGCGUAGACGGCGAUGCAAGCCAGAUGUGAAAGCCCGGGGCUCAACCCCGCCCAGCCGUCGGAACUGCCGGGCUAGAGUGGGCGAGAAGUGCGCCGAAUGCGUGGUGUAGCGGUGAAAUGCAUAGAUAUCACGCAGAACUCCGAUUGCGAAGGCAGCGCACCGGCGCCCUACUGACGCUCAGGCACGAAAGCGUGGGUAUCGAACAGGAUUAGAUACCCGAGUA